rnacentral:rRNA from 1 species
AUUGAACGCUGGCGGCAGGCCUAAAACAUGCAAGUCGAGCGGAUGACGGGAGCUUGCUCCUUGAUUCAGCGGCGGACGGGCGAGUAAUGCCUAGGAAUCUGCCUGGUAGUGGGGGACAACGUGUCGAAAGGAACGCUAAUACAGCAUACGUCCUACGGGAGAAAGCAGGGGACCUUCGGGCCCUGCGCUAUCAGAUGAGCCUAGGUCGGAUUAGCUAGUUGGUGAGGUAAUGGCUCACAAAGGCGACGAUCCGUAACUGGUCUGAGAGGAUGACCGACCACACUGGAACAGAGACACGGCCCAGACUCCUACGGGAGGCAGCAGUGGGGAAUAUUGGACAAUGGGCGAAAGCCGGCUCCAGCCCUGCCGCGUGUGUGAAGAAGGUCUUCGGAUUGUAGAGCACUUUAAGUUGGGAGGAAGGGUUGUAGAUUAAUACUCUGCAAUUUUGACGUUACCGACAGAAUAAGCACCGGCUAACUCUGUGCCAGCAGCCGCCGUAAUAC